CAGGCCUAACACAUGCAAGUCGAAGGAAAGGCCCUGCUUUUGUGGGGUGCUCGAGUGGCGAACGGGUGAGUAACACGUGAGUAACCUGCCCUUGACUUUGGGAUAACUUCAGGAAACUGGGGCUAAUACCGGAUAGGAGCUCCUGCUGCAUGGUGGGGGUUGGAAAGUUUCGGCGGUUGGGGAUGGACUCGCGGCUUAUCAGCUUGUUGGUGGGGUAGUGGCUUACCAAGGCUUUGACGGGUAGCCGGCCUGAGAGGGUGACCGGCCACAUUGGGACUGAGAUACGGCCCAGACUCCUACGGGAGGCAGCAGUGGGGAAUAUUGCACAAUGGGCGGAAGCCUGAUGCAGCAACGCCGCGUUCUUUUAUGACGGCCUUCGGGUUGUAAACCGCUUUCGCCUGUGACGAAGCGUGAGUGACGGUAAUGGGUAAAGAAGCACCGGCUAACUACGUGCCAGCAGCCGCGGUGAUACGUAGGGUGCGAGCGUUGUCCGGAUUUAUUGGGCGUAAAGGGCUCGUAGGUGGUUGAUCGCGUCGGAAGUGUAAUCUUGGGGCUUAACCCUGAGCGUGCUUUCGAUACGGGUUGACUUGAGGAAGGUAGGGGGGAAUGGAAUUCCUGGUGGAGCGGUGGAAUGCGCAGAUAUCAGGAGGAACACCAGUGGCGAAGGCGGUUCUCUGGGCCUUUCCUGACGCUGAGGAGCGAAAGCGUGGGGAGCGAACAGGCUUAGAUACCCUGGUAGUCCACGCUGUA
rnacentral:rRNA from 1 species